rnacentral:rRNA from 1 species
GCUUACGGCCAUACCACCCUGAGAACGCCCGAUCUCGUCCGAUCUCGGAAGCUAAGCAGGGUCGGGCCUGGUUAGUACUUGGAUGGGAGACCACCUGGGAAUACCAGGUGCUGUAAGCA